rnacentral:sRNA from 1 species
ACAUGGAUUGUGAAUUAUGUGUCUUUCAUUUUUAUUUCUUUUGAGACAGGAUCUCUCACUCUCACCCAGGUUGGAGUGCAGUGGUGUGAUCACGACUCACUGCAGUCUUGAACUUGCCAGGCUCAAGCAAUCCUCCUACCUCAGCCUUCUGAGUAGCUGAGACCACAGGGAUGUGAAGAGACAGGGUCUCACUAUAUUGCCCCGGCUAAUCUCGAACUCCUGGACUCAAGCAAUCUGCCCGCCUCAGCCUGCCAAAAUGCUGGGAUUACAGGGAGAUCCCCAGAGGCAAUUGUCCACCUGACUUCAGAAUCAGAAGUAGCUCUGCUUUUCCUGAGAAGUGGUGCGGGUUUUGCCUUAUGGAUGCUAACUGAGACUGGAACAUGUUCCCUUUUUUGUAUCAGCUGCUGGUACAAAAUUGAGAGUUGAGAGCCAAAACUGUACCCUUAUCACCUGUCAGUAACUUAAGGAGUCUGAGAAUAUCUGUUGACCAGAGAUAAACUAUCGGGAGGCUUUGAAGUGCUGUAAAUGCUUUACCUAUUUGAGGUUUCAUUAUUAUUUUGUCUUUUACAUUUAGUCAUUUUCUGCAAGAGGGGAGAAAAACGGCUUAUGUGACAUUAUAAAAAUAUGAAAAGUCAAAUAAAAAACAAGCCAAUGCA